rfam:Eutrema salsugineum unplaced genomic scaffold scaffold_8, whole genome shotgun sequence.
AACCCAUGGUGAGGGCAAUGAUUAGUGUAGCUCCUGAAUCUUUUCCAAGCCUCACCAAAUGUUUCAUUUUUAUGUUGAGUAAAGGAAGAGAUCUGAUUCCUGAGCUU